rnacentral:rRNA from 1 species
AUGAUGUUACCCAAGGGAAUGGGUGGUAUGGGAUUUCAAGAUAUGAGAGCUUUCAACCAGGCUUUGCUCGCAAAGCAAGCUUGGAGUUUGUUUGAUUGCCCACGGAGCCUAUGUGCUAGACUUCUCAGAGCUAAAUACUUUCCCCAUGGUAAUCUGCUAGACACAGUGUUCCCUGCUAGCUCUUCUGCUGUGUGGAAGGGGAUUGCUCAUGACCUUAAAUUAGUAAAGAAGGGCAUCAUUUGGCGCGUGGGUGAUGGUACUUUGAUUAAAACUUGGAGAGAUGCUUGGAUCCCAAGGGGCCACAACUUUCGACCAGUAACACCGAAACAUAAUUGCAGACUCAACUGGGUGGCAGAUUUUCUCGAUGAGCAUGGUGCUUGGAAUAUGCAGAGAUUGCGGGAACACUUUUGGGACUUGGAUGCCCGUGAGAUUCUGAAGAUCCGCACCUCACCAAGGAACGGGCAAGAUUUCCUAGCUUGGUUCCCAGAGAGGAGCGGACAGUUCACGGUGCGGAGUGCAUAUCGCUUGGCUACGUUGGACGCGGUUCCUGAGGUGGCGGGUGCGUCUAGCAUCUCCCCAACAGGGGAGCGGCCGGUAUGGUGGUGCAUCUGGAGUGCGAGAGUGAAGGAAAUAUGCCCUAGAGGCAAUAAUAAAGUUGUUCUUUAUAUUUCCUUAUAUCAUGAUAAAUGUUUAUUAUUCAUGCUAGAUUGUAUUAACCGGAAACUUGAUACAUAUGUGAAUACAUAG